CACUGAGGCUUAAAUACACUAAUGUUAUCCAAUCCUAUUUGAUCCUGGAAGUUAAGCAGGGUCAGUCAUGCUUAGUACUUAGAUGGGAGAUUGUCCACGAAUAUGAGAUGCAGCAGUCU
rnacentral:rRNA from 11 species